CUUAACUGGAAUAGAAAGUGAAAGUUUGAAUCUGACCUGCUCGUGAAAGACAAUCGCAUCUCUUUAUUUCAAAGUUUGAAAGAAACAUUUAAACAAUGUCUUACAUGAGCCUAAUGAAAAAAAAACUCCUCACCAAUAAGAUAACUUGAAGGAAGUGCUUUGAGGAACAGAGGACUAUGGAUUCAGUUGGAGUGAAUGUGAUUGAAACGGCAGCUCUUGGGAGACCUUUCCAGCUCGGCAUGCUGUAUGACUGCAGAAAGGACGAGUUAAUACCAGUGCUCUUCCCAGUCCUGCCCUGCCUGAGGUUCCUUUGCUUGCCGUUACUCCUGGGAUUCUACACAGUAACUGAGCUCUCUGUACACCCAUUGUGAUUGGCCUGUCUCCUGCCCUCUUUCUCUGGUUGUCAGGGUGGUCUGUCCCUGUCACUGCCCAGUCCUGCCUAUGCCACCCAGUCAGCACUUCAGACUGUCUUCUCCUUGUAGCUGAUUCCCAGAGACAUCUUUAGUCUGGCUUUCUCUCGUCCCUUUGACCUCUCCCUGCUUGUUGGAGUCAGGGUCAGGACUUGGCGGCCCACUGCUUUUGUCUUAAGUGUCUGUCAAGUCAAGUCAAGUCACCUUUACUUAAAUAGCGCUUUUUACAAUGCAGAUUGUGUCAAAGCAGCUUUACAGUGAUAACUGGUAAAUAAGUUUGGCUGCACAGCAGCUCUUAAAGAAAAUGGCAUCAUUGUCCAGCUUAAAUAAAUUCAGUAUUGAUUUAUUCAAUUGUAAAAAUCAACAAUUAGUUCAUUUAUCUAUAUAUCAGCACUGGAGAAAACAAUGAUGUCAACAUCCAGCUCAGUUCAGUUCACGUACAAUGGUGUCACUGCAGGCAGAUCAAAAACAUUGUUGAAUAUCAAGUGUCCCCAACUAAGCAUGCCAAAGGAGACAGUGGCAAGGAACCCAAACUCCAUCAGGUGACAUCACAUGACAAAACAGUGAUAAAAAUGGAGAAAAAAAAAAAAAACCCUUGCACUGCAAAAAAUGCUGUUCUUACUUAGAAUUUUUGUCUUGUUUCCAGUCCAAAUAAGUGGGGUAAGCAAAAUAAUCUUAUAUCAAACCAAAAAUAAGCUAUAUAAUCUUGUUUUCAGUUUGGAUUAAGAUUAUUUUGCUUACCCCACUGGCAGAUUAUUUUGCUUGUUUUAAGGAAAAACUUAAUUUUGACUUAUUUUUUCUGAAAACAAGGAAAUAAUUUUUACUUGUCAAGAAAAUGCUUCUUGAUUUAAUAACUUUAAGAUAUUUUGACUAGAAACAAGACAAAAACUCUAAGUAAGAACAGCAUUUUUUUGCAGUGUGGGAGAAACCAGGCUCAGUCGGGGUCCAGUUCUCCUCUGCCCAACAGCGAACAGUGCAUGAUUAUGAUUUAGGCAGCGUUACAGGUCAUAAGUCCGAUUGGGAUUGCAACAGUCAAAACAUUUGGUCCAGUUCCAUCUAGUUGAAGAUCAUGUUCAUCAAUAAAGUCUGUCAAUAAAGUCAUGUGUUGCAUCUCUCUG